UCUGGUUGAUUCUGCCAGUAGUCAUAUGCUUGUCUCAAAGAUUAAGCCAUGCAUGUCUAAGUAUAAGCACUCUUUUACUGUGAAACUGCGAAUGGCUCAUUAAAUCAGUUAUCGUUUAUUUGAUAGUACCCUACUACAUGGAUACCUGUGGUAAUUCUAGAGCUAAUACAUGCGCAAAACCCCGACUUCGGAAGGGGUGUAUUUAUUAGAUAAAAAACCAAUGCCCUUCGGGGCUCCUUGGUGAUUCAUAAUAACUUCACGAAUCGCAUGGCCUUGCGCCGGCGAUGGUUCAUUCAAAUUUCUGCCCUAUCAACUUUCGAUGGUAGGAUAGUGGCCUACCAUGGUGGCAACGGGUAACGGGGAAUUAGGGUUCGAUUCCGGAGAGGGAGCCUGAGAAACGGCUACCACAUCCAAGGAAGGCAGCAGGCGCGCAAAUUACCCAAUCCCGAUACGGGGAGGUAGUGACAAUAAAUACUGAUACAGGGCUCUUUUGGGUCUUGUAAUUGGAAUGAGAACAAUCUAAAUCCCUUAACGAGGAACAAUUGGAGGGCAAGUCUGGUGCCAGCAGCCGCGGUAAUUCCAGCUCCAAUAGCGUAUAUUAAAGUUGUUGCAGUUAAAAAGCUCGUAGUUGAACCUUGGGCCCGUCCUGCCGGUCCGCCUCACCGCGAGUACUGGUCCGGAUGGGCCUUUCUUUCUGGGGAAUCCCAUGGCCUUCACUGGCUGUGGCGGGGAACCAGGACUUUUACUGUGAAAAAAUUAGAGUGUUCAAAGCAGGCCUUUGCUCGGAUACAUUAGCAUGGAAUAAUAGAAUAGGACGUGCGGUUCUAUUUUGUUGGUUUCUAGGACCGCCGUAAUGAUUAAUAGGGAUAGUCGGGGGCGUCAGUAUUCAGCUGUCAGAGGUGAAAUUCUUGGAUUUGCUGAAGACUAACUACUGCGAAAGCAUUCGCCAAGGAUGUUUUCAUUAAUCAGGGAACGAAAGUUAGGGGAUCGAAGACGAUCAGAUACCGUCGUAGUCUUAACCAUAAACUAUGCCGACUAGGGAUCGGGCGGGGUUUCUAUGAUGACCCGCUCGGCACCUUACGAGAAAUCAAAGUUUUUGGGUUCUGGGGGGAGUAUGGUCGCAAGGCUGAAACUUAAAGAAAUUGACGGAAGGGCACCACAAGGCGU
rnacentral:rRNA from 1 species